rnacentral:rRNA from 1 species
AAUCAACGCUGGCGGCGCGCUUAACACAUGCAAGUCGCACGAGAAAGGGAGCAAUCCUGAGUAAAGUGGCGUACGGGUGAGUAACACGUGGGAAUCUACCUCUUGGCGGGGAAUAACCCUGGGAAACCGGGGCUAAUACCGCAUAAGCUCGUGAGGGGAAAGCAGCAAUGCACCGAGAGAGGAGCCCGCGGCCGAUUAGCUAGUUGGUGGGGUAAUGGCUCACCAAGGCGAAGAUCGGUAGCCGGCCUGAGAGGGCACACGGCCACACUGGCACUGAAACACGGGCCAGACUCCUACGGGAGGCAGCAGUGGGGAAUCUUGCACAAUGGGGGAAACCCUGAUGCAGCGACGCCGCGUGAGCGAUGAAGCCCUUCGGGGUGUAAAGCUCUUUCGACAGGAACGAUAAUGACGGUACCUGGAGAAGAAGCUGCGGCUAACUACGUG